CUAGUCUUGGGAGGUGGUCCUUGCUGUGAGGAUCUUCACCAGAUCUUCACCAGGUCACAGAAGGAGACGCAUCCUGUCAACAAAGGGGAGCAGGCCAGGAUCUGCCAGGAAUCAACGUGAGGAACUUGGGAGCUCCAGGAAACAGGCAGUGAAGGUCUUGUCGGGAAGCAGUGUCCUCAGGUCACACAGCAGAGGAGGCCCUGGCAGUAUCAAGAGUCAAGGUGAGGUGCAUGCCCUGGUGAGGUCCUAAGGUUCCACCUGUCCCAGACUAAGGACACUUCAUAUCACCCAGGCUCCAUAUGCCAUACUGUCUCCCCUAGAGCCUGUCCUCUGCAGUUAAACUG
rnacentral:lncRNA from 1 species